CCAGUGGUGGUCCAGUGGUAGAAGUCUUGCCUCCCAUGCAGGAGUCCUGGGUUCGAUUCCUGGCCAGUGCA
rnacentral:tRNA from 1 species